AUGAAGAAAAGCAGCCUCACGACCAACCAGUACUAUUCCGUUAUUGCGUUCACAUGCGCUCAUAUAUCAUCAUUACUCUGCUCCAUUUCUCAUCAACACCAUAUUUUUUUUAAACAAAUAAUGCUGAUAGAUAGAUCAGGAUGGCUACAACAAAACACUACACAAUUAUUAAUCACUCAUAAUUCAGUGAUGUUAAAGUUUUAA